GGAAGUAAAAUCGUAACAAGGUUUCCGUAGGUGAACCUGCGGAAGGAUCAUUAUUGUAUAACCGAGGUGCGAGGGCUGUCGCUGACCCGAAAGGUCGUGCACGCCCGAGUGCCCUCACACACAUCCAUCUCACCCCUAUGUGCACCACCGCGUGGGUCCCCCUUUGGCUUGUUCGGAGGGGGGCUUACGUUUACACACAAACUUUGUAUGCAGUGUAGAAUGUAUUUUUUGUUUUUGCGAUCACGCAAUCAAUACAACUUUCAACAACGGAUCUCUUGGCUCUC
rnacentral:misc_RNA from 1 species